GACAGAGGAUGCAAGCGUUAUCCGGAAUGAUUGGGCGUAAAGCGUCUGUAGGUGGCUUUUUAAGUUCGCCGUCAAAUCCCAGGGCUCAACCCUGGACAGGUGGUGGAAACUACCAAGCUAGAGUACGGUAGGGGCAGAGGGAAUUUCCGGUGGAGCGAUGAAAUGCGUAGAGAUCGGAAGGAACACCCAAGGCGAAAGCACUCUGCUGGGCCGACACUGACACUGAGAGACGAAAGCUAGGGGAGCGAAUGGG
rnacentral:rRNA from 1 species